rnacentral:tRNA from 1 species
GUCUCAGUAGCAUAGUGCUUAGUGCACAGCCCCGGAUAGGUUGAGACGCGGGUUCGAUUCCAGCUUGAGAUG